CCUACGGGAGGCAGCAGUGAGGAAUAUUGGUCAAUGGGCGCGAGCCUGAACCCGCCAAGUAGCGUGAAGGAUGACUGCCCUACGGGUUGUAAACUUCUUUUAUAAAGGAAUAAAGUGAGGCACGUGUGCAUUUUUGUAUGUACUUUAUGAAUAAGGAUCGGCUAACUCCGUGCCAGCCGCCGCGGUAAUACGGAGGAUCCGAGCGUUAUCCGGAUGUAUUGGGUUUAAAGGGAGCGUAGAUGGGUUGUUAAGUCAGUUGUGAAAGUUUGCGGGUCAACCGUAAAAUUGCAAUUGAUACUGGCAGCCUUGAGUACAGGUGAGGUAGGCGGAAUUCGUGGUGUAGAGGUGAAAUGCUUAGAUAUCACGAAGAACUCCGAUUGCGAAGGCAGCCUACUAAACUGCCACUGACAUUGAUGCUCGAAAGUGUGGGUAUCAAACAGGAGUAGAUACCCUUGUAGUC
rnacentral:rRNA from 1 species